UACGUAGGUGGCAAGCGUUAUCCGGAUUUACUGGGUGUAAAGGGCGUGUAGGCGGGAAAGCAAGUCAGAUGUGAAAACCAUGGGCUCAACCUGUGGCCUGCAUUUGAAACUGUUUUUCUUGAGUACUGGAGAGGCAGACGGAAUUCCUAGUGUAGCGGUGAAAUGCGUAGAUAUUAGGAGGAACACCAGUGGCGAAGGCGGCUUGCUGGACAGUAACUGACGUUGAGGCUCGAAAGCGUGGGGAGCAAACAGG
rnacentral:rRNA from 1 species